UAUUAGCGUGCCUCAGCUCGUCCACUACGUAACGGCGUGUAGACUGGGAGUCGACGCAGCACCGGCAACUUGGAGAGCGCUUUUCGACCGCGUCGUACCAUUCAAAAGUGGCGAGGCCGUAACCCACACCAGUGUCAACAUAAUGGAGGAGCCAGCAGAAAUGCAGGGAAACCUUGAAUGACUGCCAUAGCGCAGUGUGUAAUCUGAUUGCUUGGUUCAGGUACACCUAGCAAAUGUAUACAUUGACGAGGAGUGGCACCUGCUCUAGUGCCAUGGCUAGGACUCCCUGUUCUGCAAAGAACUGGCGAAACUGGUGUGCGGAGUUCUGGCACUCAGGAUAGGAGCAUCACAGGGGCUCUUUGGUGGUGCUUCCUGAACGACCGCAAUUUCAUUGAGAAGCCGGCAUUGAGCCUCCAUAAAUUGGAAGCUGUGGACAGUAUCAUCGACAUUGUUUCAAAUUUGUUUGUGUAAUGUUUGUAACAAUACAUGUAUUACAGCGAAAUGAUUAAUUUUCCAGAUGCACUUGAUGCAUAUCUUUCGAGAUGUGGUGCCCCUGAGGAGGAGAAAUCGCGGUGCUCAAAAUGGACCGUAGCCUAGCAGACAUGCUGAGAGAAAUUAAGUAAGCGUGUAAUUGCAAACAUGUGUACAUGCAGUAAACCUCAUUAAUUUGAACUC
rnacentral:lncRNA from 1 species